rnacentral:misc_RNA from 1 species
UCUCCGUUAUCCGGAGCAGUCCUCGUAGAGUUCCCCCUUGCGGGUGGCAACUACGAGUAAGGGUUGCGCUCGUUGCGGGACUUAACCCAACACCUCACGGCACGAGCUGACGACAGCCAUGCAGCACCUGUGUUCCGAUUCCCGAAGGCACUCCCGCAUCUCUGCAGGAUUCCGGACAUGUCAAGACCAGGUAAGGUUCUGCGCGUUGCAUCGAAUUAAACCACAUACUCCACCGCUUGUGCGGGCCCCCGUCAAUUCCUUUGAGUUUCAGUCUUGCGACCGUACUCCCCAGGCGGCGAACUUAACGCGUUAGCUUCGACACUGAGAGCCGAGUUGCUCCCAACGUCCAGUUCGCAUCGUUUAGGGCGUGGACUAC